rnacentral:rRNA from 1 species
ACGAACGCUGGCGGCGUGCUUAACACAUGCAAGUCGCGGGGGGUGAGCAAUCACUCACCGGCGAACGGGUGCGUAACACGUGAGCGACCUGCCCACUUGUGGGGUAUAGCCGGCCCAACGGCCGGGUAAUCCCGCAUACGCUUCCCUGGCUGCAUGGCCGGGGGAGGAAAGCCGCAAGGCGCAGGUGGAGGGGCUCGCGGCCUAUCAGCUUGUUGGCGGGGUAACGGCCCACCAAGGCUAUGACGGGUAGCUGGUCUGAGAGGAUGGCCAGCCACAUUGGGACUGAGAUACGGCCCAGACUCCUACGGGAGGCAGCAGUGGGGAAUCUUGCGCAAUGGUCGAAAGACUGACGCAGCGACGCCGCGUGCGGGAGGAAGCCCUUCGGGGUGUAAACCGCUGUUACUCGGGACGAACUUCCCGUUUCGACGGGAUUGACGGUACCGGGGGAGGAAGCACCGGCUAACUCUGU